GUUAAGAUAGUUAAAAUUAAUAACAAAACUUUGAAGAAGUUUUAUUGAAGGUUUAUCUUUCUCAUGACA
rnacentral:tRNA from 1 species